AUCUACACGGUGAGGUAGUUCAGCAGCAGGUGAAACUGAUAACUUGUAGUUGCGUUGACCAUCAUCUGCACGGUGAGGUAGUUCAGCCAUAGGUGAAACUGAUGACUUGUAGUUGCGUUGACCAGCAUCUAUACGGUGAGGUAGUUCAUUAGUGGCAGGUAAAGCUGAUAACUUGUAGUUGCGUUGGCCAUCAUCUACACGGUGAGGUAGUUCAGCCACAGGUGAAACUGAUGACUUGUAGUUGCGUUGACCAGCAUCCGUACGGUGAGGUAGUUCAUUAGUGGCAGGUAAAGCUGAUAACUUGUAGUUGCGUUGACCAUCAUCUACACGGUGAGGUAGUUCAGCCACAGGUGAAACUGAUGACUUGUAGUUGCGUUGACCAGCAUCCGUANGGUGAGGUAGUUCAUUAGUGGCAGGUAAAGCUGAUAACUUGUAGUUGCGUUGACCAUCAUCUACACGGUGAGAUAGUUCAGCCAUAGGUGAAACUGAUGACUUGUAGUUGCGUUGACCAGCAUCCGUANGGUGAGGUAGUUCAUUAGUGGCAGGUAAAGCUGAUAACUUGUAGUUGCGUUGNCCAUCAUCUACACGGUGAGNUAGUUCAGCCANAGGUGAAACUGAUGACUUGUAGUUGCGUUGACCAGCAUCCGUACGGUGAGGUAGUUCAUUAGUGGCAGGUAAAGCUGAUAACUUGUAGUUGCGUUGGCCAUCAUCUACACGGUGAGGUAGUUCAGCCACAGGUGAAACUGAUGACUUGUAGUUGCGUUGACCAGCAUCCGUACGGUGAGGUAGUUCAUUAGUGGCAGGUAAAGCUGAUAACUUGUAGUUGCGUUGGCCAUCAUCUACACGGUGAG
rnacentral:lncRNA from 1 species